rnacentral:lncRNA from 1 species
UCUUCCCCCUAUAGAUAUCCUCUUCAGCCAUCCCUGAACUCAGUGUGAUUUUUUUUUUUUAGUUAUUAUUACUAAUAUUUUUUUUUCUUUUUUUCCCCUAUAGAUAUCCUCUUCAGCCAUCCCUGUUCAUCGCGGAGGGGCCAGAGCAGCCGGGCUGUGGGAAACGGCUGGAAACUGGGAAACCAUGUACAAUGGUUUGGGAAAAGGCAGUGAUUGGGUAAGACCAUGGUCACAGGUGCUCCACAGCACGACGGGGACGCGUGACCCAGCGAGCGUUGGUGCACGAGAGUCCCGGGGAGCUGAGAUCAAAGCCCCAGCCGCGCCGAGCUUCCCCGGCCAGAUGUGGUUUUGGAUAAGGGAAGAGGGCAAUUAUUGCUCCACAAGCUCCACGGGGUGUGUGCCAGUCCUUAUUAAAUGAUUAUUAGAUGCCAGCUCUGAGGAGGCGUGAGGAAGGAUUCACUCCAAGUGGCUCAGCCCCAGCUCCAAGGACAUUACAUGUCGACGCGCAAGAGAUUUUGGGCCCAGCUGAAGAGGGACAUCACAAACAGAAGGGCUGGUUCUGCUCCAGGGCAUCCAUCACUUUUGGGAUGAAGUCAUGGCAAGUCCGGAAAACUGGAAAAAGUCCUUCUUGUUUGAAGCUCUCCUGGGGCAAGUCUCUGACAAGGAGCGGGUCCAAAACGCAAGUGUUUGUGGACAAAAUAUGACUCUUGCAAUCUGCCCACACUGCAUCGAGCUAUUAAUGAGUUCAUGACAAGCAAAGCGCUGGAACGUAAUUAGGGAAGAACUCCGUAGCCAGCCAGAACCUCCCAACGUCUUAAAUGUCAGCUCAGAAACAUAUGAAUUGCUUGGAAGGGUCUUCUGGAGCCAAGGUAGACUUUGGGGAAUUGGGGUGAUCUGCCAGGACGCCUUCGGAGCGGUGAGGUCCUGGUACCGGCUCAUUCCGGCGACUCCUCCUUGGCACAGCCCAGAUGGAUGAUUUCUGCCACAUCCCAUCUCCCAUGGGCUGCUGGGAUAAUAAUGCUACUUAUUAUUUUAUGAUAUAGUAAUUUUCCUGGCUGAAGACAACACUUUCAUCAAGACCAAGGUGUUCUGCAGGAACACGGCUGACUCUCCUCCCAAGGGCACAUUUUGACUUUUCCUUCAGAGACAAACUUUCCUCCCCAUGACAAGAUGGGUUAUCUUUUUUUUUUUUAAUUAGAGCUGGAAUAAAAGGGCCAGGUCCAUCCCGAUGUCCA